CCUACGGGAGACAGCAGUGGGGGAUAUUGCACAAUGGGGGAAACCCUGAUGCAGCGACGCCGCGUGAGUGAAGAAGGUUUUCGGUAUGGAAAACUACAUCAGCAGGGGAGGAACAAGACGGUACCUGGCGAGGAAGCCCCGGCUAACUACGUGCCAGCAGCCACGGUAAUACGUAGGGGGCAAGCGUUAUCCGGAUUUACUGGGUGUAAAGGGAGCGUAGGCGGGGAGGCAAGUUUGAUGUGAAAACCCAGGGCUUAACCCGGUGACCGCCUUGGAAACUGGAAGUCUUGAGUGAUGGAGAGGUAAGCGGAAUUCGUAGUGUAGCGGUGAAAUGCGUAGAUAUUAGGAGGAACACCAGUGGCGAAGGCGGCUUGCUGGACUUUAACUGACGCUGAGGCUCGAAAGCGUGGGGAGCAAACAGGAUUAGAUACCCCAGUAGUC
rnacentral:rRNA from 1 species